ACCGAGAUUCCCCCAGUAGCGGCGAGCGAACGGGGAGGAGCCCAGAGCCUGAAUCAGCAUGUGUGUUAGUGGAAGCGUCUGGAAAGGCGCGCGAUACAGGGUGACAGCCCCGUACACAAAAGCGCAUGUGCUGUGAGCUCGAUGAGUAGGGCGGGACACGUGGUAUCCUGUCUGAAUAUGGGGGGACCAUCCUCCAAGGCUAAAUACUCCUGACUGACCGAUAGUAAACCAGUACCGUGAGGGAAAGGCGAAAAG
rnacentral:rRNA from 1 species